GACGAACGCUGGCGGCGUGCCUAAUACAUGCAAGUUGAGCGCUGAAGGUUGGUACUUGUACCAACUGGAUGAGCAGCGAACGGGUGAGUAACGCGUGGGGAAUCUGCCUUUGAGCGGGGGACAACAUUUGGAAACGAAUGCUAAUACCGCAUAAAAACUUUAAACACAAGUUUUAAGUUUGAAAGAUGCAAUUGCAUCACUCAAAGAUGAUCCCGCGUUGUAUUAGCUAGUUGGUGAGGUAAAGGCUCACCAAGGCGAAGAUACAUAGCCGACCUGAGAGGGUGGUCGGCCACAUUGGGACUGAGACACGGCCCAAACUCCUACGGGAGGCAGCAGUAGGGAAUCUUCGGCAAUGGACGAAAGGCUGACCGAGCAACGCCGCGUGAGUGAAGAAGGUUUUCGGAUCGUAAAACUCUGUUGGUAGAGAAGAACGUUGGUGAGAGUGGAAAGCUCAUCAAGUGACGGUAACUACCCAGAAAGGGACGGCUAACUACGUG
rnacentral:rRNA from 1 species